rnacentral:rRNA from 1 species
UACGUAGGGUGCAAGCGUUAAUCGGAAUUACUGGGCGUAAAGCGUGCGUAGGCGGUUCGUUAAGUCUGCUGUGAAAGCCCCGGGCUCAACCUGGGAAUGGCAGUGGAUACUGGCGAGCUAGAGUGUGAUAGAGGAUGGUGGAAUUCCCGGUGUAGCGGUGAAAUGCGUAGAGAUCGGGAGGAACAUCAGUGGCGAAGGCGGCCAUCUGGAUCAACACUGACGCUGAGGCACGAAAGCGUGGGGAGCAAACAGG